UACGGGGGGGGCAAGCGUUGUUCGGAAUUACUGGGCGUAAAGGGUUCGUAGGUGGCCUGCUAAGUCGGACGUGAAAUCCCUCGGCUCAACCGGGGAACUGCGUCCGAUACUGGUGGGCUCGAGUGCAGGAGAGGAACGCGGAAUUCCAGGUGUAGCGGUGAAAUGCGUAGAUAUCUGGAGGAACACCGGUGGCGAAGGCGGCGUUCUGGACUGCAACUGACACUGAGGAACGAAAGCCAGGGGAGCAAACAGG
rnacentral:rRNA from 1 species